GGUCUUCGGAUGCUGACGAGUGGCGAACGGGUGAGUAAUACAUCGGAACGUGCCUAGUAGUGGGGGAUAACUACUCGAAAGAGUAGCUAAUACCGCAUGAGAUCUACGGAUGAAAGCAGGGGACCUUCGGGCCUUGUGCUACUAGAGCGGCUGAUGGCAGAUUAGGUAGUUGGUGGGGUAAAGGCUUACCAAGCCUGCGAUCUGUAGCUGGUCUGAGAGGACGACCAGCCACACUGGGACUGAGACACGGCCCAGACUCCUACGGGAGGCAGCAGUGGGGAAUUUUGGACAAUGGGCGAAAGCCUGAUCCAGCAAUGCCGCGUGCAGGAUGAAGGCCCUCGGGUUGUAAACUGCUUUUGUACGGAACGAAAAGCCUGGGGCUAAUAUCCCCGGGUCAUGACGGUACCGUAAGAAUAAGCACCGGCUAACUACGUGCCAGCAGCCGCGGUAAUACGUAGGGUGCAAGCGUUAAUCGGAAUUACUGGGCGUAAAGCGUGCGCAGGCGGUUUUGUAAGACAGUGGUGAAAUCCCCGGGCUCAACCUGGGAACUGCCAUUGUGACUGCAAGGCUAGAGUGCGGCAGAGGGGGAUGGAAUUCCGCGUGUAGCAGUGAAAUGCGUAGAUAUGCGGAGGAACACCGAUGGCGAAGG
rnacentral:rRNA from 1 species